rnacentral:misc_RNA from 1 species
AAACCAUCAAGCCUAGCUUGGUCUUGGACGUGGUUGAGUGACCCGUCCGUAACCCGUUGGCGGUACAGUCCGGCUUCAAGCGUAGCAAAAAUUUCGCUUUAGGAGUCCGCGGCGGUACCCGCCAGGCAACAACAUUCCAAA